rnacentral:lncRNA from 1 species
CUCUGAUUUUGCUCAACUUUCUCAGAAAAGUUGCUUACCAUCAACUCUCCAGUGGUACAAAGGCAUUCCAGGUGUGUUCUGCAGUAUUUAGGCUAUAUUAUUUUCUCAUUGUUCUGCCAAGAAUUCUUUUUCUCAGUUCUCCCAGGAUUCCAGAAGUGACAAUCUUUUGUGACUCUUUUAAAAAGGACUAUUUAAAUCUCACCUGCAUUGAAGGCUGCCUUUUGUCACUUUCCAUUAUUCAAAUAGGAAGAAAUGUAUUUUUUAUAUUAGAAAUACAAAAAAAGAAGAUGAAGUAAGUAGAGCCCCAUGUAAAUUAUCUUAUACUUCCAGGGUCUCCCUUCAUCUCUGAGUCAAGACGUUUGUUUUAUCUUCAGGGGCUGUGCUCCGAAGCUGUUCAGCAACACAGAAUGUGUCUUGAGGCUUCCUAGGAAAUGAAAAAAAGAAGAAGAAGAAGAAGAAGAUCAUUUUCAGCCUCUAAAGCUAAGCCCUGACAAAAAUAUCAGGAAUUCAAAGAAACGAUGUAAGGAGCACUGGGAUCUCUUUUACUCUAGCUCCUUUAUUGCUAAUUUUUAUAGUUAUCUUCUAAAUGAAGAAUCAGAGCUUAUGCUCUUUUUUAAACUUUCAAUGGUAGCUAUUUUUAUCCUCUAUGUCCUGGCCACCUAUACCUCACUUGAAAUUCCAAAUGGAUUUUGAGGCAUGUGAACUGGUCACAAAACCUUUAGGGCCAAAGCCAUUCAUCCUACUUGGUACUUAGGUAAAGAUCUAUCAUCUUGAUUAUUGAAAUUAACAUUCCUCAUUAGACUACUCCAUCAUGUGCCUGAUUAUUUCCAUUGAUAACUCUCCAUUGACUUUGGGAGCUCUAUUAAACUUCUUUUGGCUAAAGCCCUUGAUAUUUUCUCAUUGAAGAGUUUUGGAGUUAUUCUGCCUUUGUAUAUAAAAAAAUCUUUAAGGGAUGAAAUAUUAUUUGACUUACUGAUUUAGAAUUUCAUAUUUUGGUUAGGCAACAGAGGUGUUUUCUUGUUAUUUGGCAAACAUUUGACAUCUCUUGCUGACAAUAUCCUUUUCCCCUUCAAAGCCAUUUCCAAGAGAGCCUUCUCAUUUGUAUUCCAGCAAAGUGUAACUCCUGGGAAAAGAGUUUUGCAACAUAGUUCUGCAGGAUGAAAUGAGAGCUGGUUAGCUAUGAUCUUUAGCGAGGUUUGCCUAAUGAACACUGGAUCCAAGAGCUGUUAAGUCUA